rnacentral:rRNA from 1 species
CAUGAGUGGCGGACGGGUGAGUAACGCGUGGGCAACCUGGCCUGUACAGGGGGAUAACACUUAGAAAUAGGUGCUAAUACCGCAUAACGGGGGAAGCCGCAUGGCUUUUCCCUGAAAACUCCGGUGGUAUAGGAUGGGCCCGCGUCUGAUUAGCCAGUUGGCAGGGUAACGGCCUACCAAAGCGACGAUCAGUAGCCGGCCUGAGAGGGCGACCGGCCACAUUGGGACUGAGACACGGCCCAAACUCCUACGGAAGGCAGCAG